rnacentral:rRNA from 1 species
UACGGAGGGAGCUAGCGUUGUUCGGAAUUACUGGGCGUAAAGCGCACGUAGGCGGCUACUCAAGUCAGAGGUGAAAGCCCAGGGCUCAACCUUGGAACUGCCUUUGAAACUAGGUAGCUAGAAUUCUGGAGAGGUCAGUGGAAUUCCGAGUGUAGAGGUGAAAUUCGUAGAUAUUCGGAAGAACACCAGUGUCUAAGGCGACUGACUGGACAGAUAUUGACGCUGAGGUGCGAAAUCGUGGUGAGCAAACAGG